AAGUCGUAACAAGGUCUCCGUAGGUGAACCUGCGGAGGGAUCAUUAACAAUUUUACUUUUACAGAGCGAACUUGAACCGGGUGAAAAUCUGAUUCAAUUAGCUUUGCAAAAUUCAAACACAGCGCGAACGAAAUGACUGACCAUUCAGCUAAGCUAAUCAGGCUAGGUUAGGCGAGGCUCUGUCCUCCUCUCUCUCCUCCUCUUAGCUGCUUGGCUUUUUUUCUACUUUAACGAAUUUCACCUAAUGUUUGUUUUCUUUCAAUUUCGAAACGAAAAAUCAAAUUAAAUUAAAACCGAUCAAAUGCGAGUUUGAGCGAUUAAUUUCUUUUACUUUUUUGAUUCGAUUAUAAUUUUUUUAUAAUUUAAUCAUAUAUAAAAAACUAAAUUAAAGCACAACUCUUAGCAACGGAUAUCUUGGUUCUC
rnacentral:misc_RNA from 1 species